UGAGCGAAAUUCGGUUAAACGCGUUUUGAAAUGCGGUAUUUUCGUAAAGAAAAACUAUUGGCAAUACGCUUAUGAACCUCGUGUUAAAUUUCCAGGCAUAACUAGUGAAACCAAUACAUUCCUCGCCGCGCUCAGAAUCUAAAAAAGUCUAUGUUCAUUGUGCCGUUCGUUCACAAACAACCGGGUAGGUAUGCGUGCAUG